rnacentral:rRNA from 1 species
CCUACGGGUGGCAGCAGUGGGGAAUAUUGGGCAAUGGGCGCAAGCCUGACCCAGCAACACCGCGUGAAGGAUGAAGGCUUUCGGGUUGUAAACUUCUUUUGACAGGGAAGAGUAGAAGACGGUACAUGUCGAAUCAGCCACGGCUAACUAAGUGCCAGCACCCGCGGUAAUAAGUAGGUAGCAACCGUUGUCCGGCUUUACUGGGAGUAAAGGGCGUGUAGCCGGGUUGACAAGGCAGUUGUGAAAUCCUGGGGCUUAACCGCAGAACUGCUUUUGAUACUGUUGAACUUGAGUACUGGAGAGGCAGACGGAAUUCCUAGUGAAGCGGUGAAAUGCGUAGAUAUAAGGAAGAACACCAGUGGCGAAGGCAGUCUGCUGGAUAGCUACUGACGGUGAGGCGCGAAAGCGUGGGGAGCAAACAGGAUUAGAUACCCUUGUAGUC